AUGAACGCUGGCGGCGUGCCUAAUACAUGCAAGUCGAGCGAACAGACGAGGAGCUUGCUCCUCUGACGUUAGCGGCGGACGGGUGAGUAACACGUGGAUAACCUACCUAUAAGACUGGGAUAACUUCGGGAAACCGGAGCUAAUACCGGAUAAUAUAUUGAACCGCAUGGUUCAAUAGUGAAAGACGGUUUUGCUGUCACUUAUAGAUGGAUCCGCGCCGCAUUAGCUAGUUGGUAAGGUAACGGCUUACCAAGGCAACGAUGCGUAGCCGACCUGAGAGGGUGAUCGGCCACACUGGAACUGAGACACGGUCCAGACUCCUACGGGAGGCAGCAGUAGGGAAUCUUCCGCAAUGGGCGAAAGCCUGACGGAGCAACGCCGCGUGAGUGAUGAAGGUCUUCGGAUCGUAAAACUCUGUUAUUAGGGAAGAACAAAUGUGUAAGUAACUAUGCACGUCUUGACGGUACCUAAUCAGAAAGCCACGGCUAACUACGUGCCAGCAGCCGCGGUAAUA
rnacentral:rRNA from 1 species